CCUACGGGAGGCAGCAGUGGGGAAUAUUGCGCAAUGGGCGCAAGCCUGACGCAGCGACGCCGCGUGAGGGAUGAAGGUCUUCGGAUCGUAAACCUCUGUUAGCAGGGAAGAACGGUCACUGUGCUAAUCAGCAGUGAAUUGACGGUACCUGCAAAGGAAGCACCGGCUAACUCCGUGCCAGCAGCCGCGGUAAUACGGAGGGUGCGAGCGUUAAUCGGAAUUACUGGGUGUAAAGCGCUCGUAGGCGGUAUGUCAAGUCAAGGGUGAAAUCCCCGCGCUCAACGUGGUAACUGCCUUUGAGACUGGCAGACUUGAGUGUGUGUGAGGAAGGUGGAAUUCCAGGUGUAGGGGUGAAAUGCGUAGAUAUCUGGAGGAACAUCGAUGGCGAAGGCGACUAUCUGACACAUAACUGACGCUGAGGAGCGAAAGCGUGGGUAGCAAACAGGAUUAGAUACCCCUGUAGUC
rnacentral:rRNA from 1 species